AAGGUCCAUUUUUGUGUUGUGCCAUCUUCUGUAUUGCACAGGACUUAGCUGUUGUCUCAAAGCCUGGCUCCUGCGGAUGAAGCAAGGAAUGACCACAGAACAGCUGUCCCCCUUUGCCUACACACCGUCCAGCCUCAACUGGCUUCUUGCCAUUGCCACAGGGUGUUGGGGGAGGGGAUGGCUCCCUAUGCCUCCUGGGCUGAAUACCUGACAGAUGCAACUCAAGGGAGGAGGGACUUGUUUUGGGUCACAGUCGCAGGGAGGAAGGCGUGGUAGCCAGUGGCUCCAAGGCUGCCGUGGCAUCAGCAGCUGCUUGUUCCAUGACGCCAACCAGAAGCAGAAAGCUGGAGCCAGAACUGGACUGAAACCCAUAAGGGCCUCCCCACCCAUGCAAGCCGGCCCUGCUCAGACACCCACUUCUUCCAGGCCCCGUCUCCAGUC